GUAGUCGUACGCGGUAUCCCUUUGUCUGCACGUCGACCCGUGCAUGUUCUACUUUGCUCUUUUGCUGGCGAGUGGGGAACGGGUGAGUAAUACAUCGGACCGUGCCCUGUAGUGGGGGAUAACUAGUCAAAAGAUUAGCUAAUACCGCAUACAACCUGAGGGUGAAGGUGGGGGACCGCAAGGCCUCUUGCUUUAGGAGCGGCCGAUGUCUGAUUACCUAGUUGGUGAGGUAAAGGCUCACCAAGGCGACAAUCAAUAGCUGGUCUGAGAGGACGAUCAGCCACACUGGGACUGAGACACGGCCCAGACUCCUACGGGAGGCAGCAGUGGGGAAUUUUGGACAAUGGGCGAAAGCCUGAUCCAGCAAUGCCGCGUGUGUGAAGAAGGCCUUCGGGUUGUAAAGCACUUUUGUCCGGAAAGAAAUGGCUCGGGUUAAUACCUGGGGUCGAUGACGGUACCGGAAGACUAAGGACCGGCUAACUACGUGCCACCAGCCGCGGUAAUACGUAGGGUCCAAGCGUUAAUCGGAAUUACUGAGCGUAAAGCGUGCGCAGGCGGUUGUGCAAGACCUAUGUGAAAUCCCCGAGCUUAACUUGUGAAUUGCAUUGGUGACUGCACGGCUAGAGUGUGUCAGAGGGGGGUAGAAUUCCACAUGUCCCGUGAAAUGCGUAAAAGAUGUGGAGUAUU
rnacentral:rRNA from 1 species